rfam:Ictidomys tridecemlineatus contig099980, whole genome shotgun sequence.
UGGGUUGUGGCUCAGUGGUAGAGCACUUGCCUGCCAUGUGUGAGACACUGGGUUCAAUUCUCAGCACUGCAU